GAUGAACGCUGGCGGCGUGCUUAACACAUGCAAGUCGAGCGAGUGAGUUCUUCGGAACGAUCUAGCGGCGGACGGGUGAGUAACACGUGGGCAACCUGCCUCAUAGAGGGGAAUAGCCUCCCGAAAGGGAGAUUAAUACCGCAUAACAUCGUUGAAGGGCAUCCUUCGAUGAUCAAAGGAGCAAUCCGCUAUGAGAUGGGCCCGCGGCGCAUUAGCUAGUUGGUGAGGUAACGGCUCACCAGGGCGACGAUGCGUAGCCGACCUGAGAGGGUGAUCGGCCACAUUGGGACUGAGACACGGCCCAGACUCCUACGGGAGGCAGCAGUGGGGAAUAUUGCACAAUGGGGGAAACCCUGAUGCAGCAACGCCGCGUGAGUGAUGACGGCCUUCGGGAUGUAAAGCUCUGUCUUUGGGGACGAUAAUGACGGUACCCAAGGAGGAAGUCACGGCUAACUACGUGCCAGCCGCCGCGGUAA
rnacentral:rRNA from 1 species